GGCUGGCGCUGCCCUUUUUCUUCCCUCGGCCCCACCCCUCCGCGGCUCUGCGUCUUCCUGCUCCUCUGCCCCGCGCCCCGCGUAACCCGCCGCCGCCGGGACCCGGCCGAGUGCCCGCAGGGUCUGACCGAGGAGGCCUGGGGAGGUGGGGGACCCCACCUGGCCUCUGGGAGACCCGCGCGCGGAGGGAUCAGAGCACUCUGGCGGCCCGCAGUCCUGCCCAGCCCUCCUCUGUAUUGGGCUAGCACAGGGUGGCGCCACGCAGUGUUAACCAGUUGUCCGCACACGUCCUACAUUUCGUAGGGAGUUAUCACGUUCCCAGCUCUUGAGGAAUUAGAAUGCGAGUAUAUGGCAAGGAUGAGCCAGCACUUCCUUCCAGAGACUACACAGUGUUCCAGAGAGCUGAGCACAGGAGCCUGGCUUUGUACACAGAAAAUGACUGAAGAAAGCAAAAUCGAAAAGUAGAUUGGUCACUUCCAUUUCUUUCCUUGUGGGGUCGGGACAGAAUAAUAGAAAAAUAACUGAUUGGUUAACAUCAAGUUACUUCAGGUAAUUUUUCCGGGUAAAUUUAAGAUUAGAGGAAACAUCAGUAUCAUGACAAUUAAAACUGAUCUGUCUGGGAAAUUCAGUUGUUCUCCAUAUAAUCCUGAUUUCUAUGACAGCCACACACACAGUUUUUAGAUUCCGCUUGGUGAAACAGCUUAGUUUAGCAUGAAUGAUUCCAUUUUGAUUUUUAGUGUGGUAUCUUGGGGCCCAGUCUAAAGUAAUGAUCUCCUGUAAUUUUUAUUUAGCAACAUCCAGACAUGGAGUUUUUGGAUCAUAGAGUGUACAUAAAGUGCACACACCUGUAAUCCCAGCAUUCAGGAGGCAGAGGCAGGAGGAUCACUGUGAGUUCGAGGCCAGCCUGGGCUACAUAGUGAGAUCUUGUCUCAAAAUACCAAAAUAAAAAGUUUUAGUUAGGUAUUUUCCCACCAGCUGUGAGAGCUGCCCUUACUCCAUAUCCUUCCAAAAAUUUGGGUUAGAUUUUUAAAAUUUUGUCAGUUGAAUGAGUGGAAGUGGUAUAAAUAUAUUUUAACUCUUCAUAAUGAAAAAUUCCAAGUAUUUAUACAGUAGUGAG
ensembl:lncRNA